UAACACAUCAGAGGAUAAUUCUUCAAACCAGUCGGUCGGAACAAACAGUAGCUCUGUCGCUAUUGCUAUCCUGGUGCCUUUUUUCGCUCUUAUAUUUGCUGGUUUUGGAUUUUAUCUAUAUAAACAAAGGACUGCACCUAAAACCCAGUACACUGGAUGCUCUGUACAUGAAAAUAACAAUGGUCAAGCAGCUUUUGAAAAUCCAAUGUACGACACCAAUGCAAAAACUGUGGAGGGGAAAGCAGUACGAUUUGACCCAAAUUUGAACACUGUUUGCACAAUGGUAUAAUGCUGGAGAACUCUUAUUUUUUUGAUUAUGAAACUGGAAAAAAAUGAGACAUACUGCUGUGCACUCUCCGGUUCUCCGCUACUAUUAAAGCACAUUUUUAGGAACACAAUGGGGGUCAUGGACACCCUAGGAGGAAAAAAGAAUGAAGAAGACUUACCGGAAAGAACUCAAUCUACACUUCAUGUGCGACAUGGGACGUUUUCCAGCAAGACGACUGCACUCUAUGAGUGCUUGAUUACAAUUUAUUUUCUUUUUUUUGAAAAGGAGAUUAAUCUAAACAAGAAACUUAUUUGCAUAUAUUGGAGGAGCAUCCACUAUCAGUAUUUACUGUGCUUUAUAAACUAUAUUAGAAGGUCUGGAAUUUAAAAAAAAAAUAAAACAGAAAAAAAAUACAAAAAAUAAAACAAAACAUGAUUAUAUGAUAGAAAAUUGCUAUAAUUACUGGAGACAUUAAGACAAAUUACAAGUAUUAAGUAAAGAACAUUUUCCUGCUUUGGCAACAUGAAUUAACAAAAGAAGUUCUCAUCCCCCCUUUGAUUUGGGUAUUCCAUUGUAUGUUUUUAAAACCGAGAACUGAUACUGGGUGUUUAAUUAUCUUCUAUUGCUAGAUGCCCAUAAUAUCCUGGGCACAUACUUGUGACACAUUUACAAACAUGUCUCAGAUAAAUUCCCUGGACAAUCUUAGCUUCUGUUUUGGUACACAAAGUUAAGCACUAGAUGAUGCUUUUACCACCUACUUUCCAAAAACUCACAGCCUCCAAUAGCAUGAGUUGUCCAGGGGAUUCCAACUCAGUGGUUUGUACUAAGAGAUAGGGAUUUAUGGAAUAUCCAGUUCCUUUACCACCUAAGAAUAGCCUAUUUUUCCACCCUGACUCGUUUGUAUUUUUCUACAAUAUCUGACUCACCAUUAGUGAGCUUUGUUCAUGAAACAAUGUUAACUGAUGUAUCCCAUGCUAUGCAUGUUCUGGUUAACAAUAUAUUUAGAGAAAGUUUUUUUUUUUUAAGGCAUAUCACAAGACAAGAUAAUAAUGACUGAAUAUCCUUAUACACUUCUAGGUAUAAAAUGCUUCCUACAAUAAAUUCCAACAGUCCACCUUUGCCAUUGACCACCCUUUUAUCUGGAGAGAACAGAAGUUCAGUCUGAGGCCUAAAAUGGUUAAGAUGUAGCCAGUAUUGUUUUUAUAUUUUAUUUUAAAAAUAGAGAUUAUUUCAGUAAUUUGUAUAUAUCAUCUAUACUAUUAAAUCAACACUACUUUUUUUGUAAUUUA